UACAGAGGUCUCAAGCGUUGUUCGGAUUCAUUGGGCGUAAAGGGUGUGUAGGUGGCGCGCUAAGUCGGGUGUGAAAUCUCGGAGCUUAACUCCGAAACUGCAUUCGAUACUGCCGUGCUUGAGGACUGGAGAGGAGACUGGAAUUUACGGUGUAGCGGUGAAAUGCGUAGAUAUCGUAAGGAAGACCAGUGGCGAAGGCGGGUCUCUGGACAGUUCCUGACGCUGGAGGCACGAAGGUCAGGGGAGCAAACGGG
rnacentral:rRNA from 1 species